GCUGGGUGCGGUGGCGCAUGCCUGUAAUCCCAGUGGCUCAGGAGGCUGAAGCAGAAGGAUCAUGAGUUCAAAGCCAGCCUCAGCAAUUUAGUGAGGGCCUAAGCAACUCAGUGAGACCCUGUCUCUA
rnacentral:sRNA from 1 species